UACGGGGGGGGCAAGCGUUGUUCGGAAUUACUGGGCGUAAAGGGCGCGUAGGCGGUGCUCUAAGUCGGAUGUGAAAACUCUGGGCUCAACCCAGAGCCUGCAUUCAAAACUGACGGGCUAGAGUUCUGGAGGGGGUAGCGGAAUUCCUGGUGUAGCGGUGAAAUGCGUAGAUAUCAGGAGGAACACCGGUGGCGAAGGCGGCUACCUGGACAGAAACUGACGCUGAGGCACGAAAGCUAGGGGAGCAAACAGG
rnacentral:rRNA from 1 species